AAGCUCGUAGUUGAAUUUCGGGGUUCUACCGUUGGUCGGGCAAUAGUCUGUACUGGUGUGUAGAAUUUCUACCUUCUGGGGAACUAUCACGUUAUUUAUUUAGCGUGGUAGGAAACCAGGACCUUUACCUUGAAAAAAUUAGAGUGUUCAAAGCAGGCUUACGUCUGAAUACAUUAGCAUGGAAUAAUAAAAUAGGACGGUGGUCCUGUUUUGUUGGUUUCUGAAUCACCGUAAUGAUUAAUAGGGAUAGUUGGG
rnacentral:rRNA from 1 species